rnacentral:rRNA from 1 species
AUUGAACGCUGGCGGCAUGCUUUACACAAGCAAGUCGAACGGUAACAGGCCGCAAGGUGCUGACGAGUGGCGAACGGGUGAGUAAUGCAUCGGAACGUGCCCAGUCGUGGGGGAUAACGCAGCGAAAGCUGUGCUAAUACCGCAUACGAUCUAUGGAUGAAAGCGGGGGACCGUAAGGCCUCGCGCGAUUGGAGCGGCCGAUGUCAGAUUAGGUAGUUGGUGGGGUAAAGGCCUACCAAGCCGACGAUCUGUAGCUGGUCUGAGAGGACGACCAGCCACACUGGGACUGAGACACGGCCCAGACUCCUACGGGAGGCAGCAGUGGGGAAUUUUGGACAAUGGGCGCAAGCCUGAUCCAGCAAUGCCGCGUGCAGGAAGAAGGCCUUCGGGUUGUAAACUGCUUUUGUACGGAACGAAACGGUCUGGGUUAGUACCCUGGGCUAAUGACGGUACCGUAAGAAUAAGCACCGGCUAACUACGUGCCAGCCGCCGCGGUAA